GUGGGUAUAGUGCAAUGAGUGGUAGAGCACGUGCUUAGCAUGCACAAGGCCCUGGGUUCAAUCCUCAGUACCUCCA
rnacentral:tRNA from 1 species